CCACACUAACACAGGUACACACUAACACAGGUACACACUAACACAUCCACACUAACACAGGUACACACUAACACAUCCACACUAACACAGGUACACACUAACACAGGUACACACUAACACAUCCACACUAACACAGGUACACACUAACACAGGUACACACUAACACAGGUACA